rnacentral:rRNA from 1 species
UGGGCGUAAGGGCUCGCAGGCGGUUUCUUAAGUCUGAUGUGAAAGCCCCCGGCUCAACCGGGGAGGGUCAUUGGAAACUGGGGAACUUGAGUGCAGAAGAGGAGAGUGGAAUUCCACGUGUAGCGGUGAAAUGCGUAGAGAUGUGGAGGAACACCAGUGGCGAAGGCGACUCUCUGGUCUGUAACUGACGCUGAGGAGCGAAAGCGUGGGGAGCGAACAGGAUUAGAUACCCUGGUAGUCCACGCCGUAAACGAUGAGUGCUAAGUGUUAGGGGGUUUCCGCCCCUUAGUGCUGCAGCUAACGCAUUAAGCACUCCGCCUGGGGAGUACGGUCGCAAGACUGAAACUCAAAGGAAUUGACGGGGGCCCGCACAAGCGGUGGAGCAUGUGGUUUAAUUCGAAGCAACGCGAAGAACCUUACCAGGUCUUGACAUCCUCUGACAAUCCUAGAGAUAGGACGUCCCCUUCGGGGGCAGAGUGACAGGUGGUGCAUGGUUGUCGUCAGCUCGUGUCGUGAGAUGUUGGGUUAAGUCCCGCAACGAGCGCAACCCUUGAUCUUAGUUGCCAGCAUUCAGUUGGGCACUCUAAGGUGACUGCCGGUGACAAACCGGAGGAAGGUGGGGAUGACGUCAAAUCAUCAUGCCCCUUAUGACCUGGGCUACACACGUGCUACAAUGGACAGAACAAAGGGCAGCGAAACCGCGAGGUUAAGCCAAUCCCACAAAUCUGUUCUCAG